GUUUGGUUAAGUUAGAAAGGGCGCACGGUGGAUGCCUUGACACUAGGAGUCGAUGAAGGACGGGACUAACGCCGAUAUGCUUCGGGGAGCUGUAAGUAAGCUUUGAUCCGAAGAUUUCCGAAUGGGGAAACCCACCAUACGUAAUGGUAUGGUAUCCUUAUCUGAAUACAUAGGGUAAGGAAGACAGACCCAGGGAACUGAAACAUCUAAGUACCUGGAGGAAGAGAAAGCAAAUGCGAUUUCCUGAGUAGCGGCGAGCGAAACGGAACAUAGCCCAAACCAAGAGGCUUGCCUCUUGGGGUUGUAGGACAUUCUAUACGGAGUUACAAAGGAACGAGGUAGACGAAGCGACCUGGAAAGGUCCGUCGUAGAGGGUAACAACCCCGUAGUCGAAACUUCGUUCUCUCUUGAAUGUAUCCUGAGUACGGCGGAACACGUGAAAUUCCGUCGGAAUCUGGGAGGACCAUCUCCCAAGGCUAAAUACUCCCUAGUGAUCGAUAGUGAACCAGUACCGUGAGGGAAAGGUGAAAAGCACCCCGGAAGGGGAGUGAAAGAGAUCCUGAAACCGUGUGCCUACAAAUAGUCAGAGCCCGUUAACGGGUGAUGGCGUGCCUUUUGUAGAAUGAACCGGCGAGUUACGAUCCCGUGCGAGGUUAAGCUGAAGAGGCGGAGCCGCAGCGAAAGCGAGUCUGAAUAGGGCGUUUAGUACGUGGUCGUAGACCCGAAACCAGGUGAUCUACCCAUGUCCAGGGUGAAGUUCAGGUAACACUGAAUGGAGGCCCGAACCCACGCACGUUGAAAAGUGCGGGGAUGAGGUGUGGGUAGCGGAGAAAUUCCAAUCGAACCUGGAGAUAGCUGGUUCUCCCCGAAAUAGCUUUAGGGCUAGCCUUAAGUGUAAGAGUCUUGGAGGUAGAGCACUGAUUGGACUAGGGGUCCUCAUCGGAUUACCGAAUUCAGUCAAACUCCGAAUGCCAAUGACUUAUCCUUAGGAGUCAGACUGCGAGUGAUAAGAUCCGUAGUCAAAAGGGAAACAGCCCAGACCGCCAGCUAAGGUCCCAAAGUGUGUAUUAAGUGGAAAAGGAUGUGGAGUUGCUUAGACAACUAGGAUGUUGGCUUAGAAGCAGCCACCAUUUAAAGAGUGCGUAAUAGCUCACUAGUCGAGUGACUCUGCGCCGAAAAUGUACCGGGGCUAAAUACACCACCGAAGCUGCGGAUUGAUACCAAUGGUAUCAGUGGUAGGGGAGCGUUCUAAGGACAGUGAAGUCAGACCGGAAGGACUGGUGGAGUGCUUAGAAGUGAGAAUGCCGGUAUGAGUAGCGAAAGACGGGUGAGAAUCCCGUCCACCGAAUGCCUAAGGUUUCCUGAGGAAGGCUCGUCCGCUCAGGGUUAGUCAGGACCUAAGCCGAGGCCGACAGGCGUAGGCGAUGGACAACAGGUUGAUAUUCCUGUACCACCUCUUUAUCGUUUGAGCAAUGGAGGGACGCAGAAGGAUAGAAGAAGCGUGCGAUUGGUUGUGCACGUCCAAGCAGUUAGGCUGAUAAGUAGGCAAAUCCGCUUAUCGUAAAGGCUGAGCUGUGAUGGGGAAGCUCCUUAUGGAGCGAAGUCUUUGAUUCCCCGCUGCCAAGAAAAGCUUCUAGCGAGAUAAAAGGUGCCUGUACCGCAAACCGACACAGGUAGGCGAGGAGAGAAUCCUAAGG
rnacentral:rRNA from 1 species